GGAUAAACCGCGAUAGGCCAAGAUUUCUGGAAUGGAUCAUGGCUGAAAUCUAUAUGGCCCUUGGAUUGGACUGCGGCCGAUCAGGCUGUUGGUGAGGUAAUGGCCCACCAAACCUAUAACCGGUACGGGCUUUGAGAGAAGGAGCCCGGAGAUGGGCACUGAGACAAGGGCCCAGGCCCUAUGGGGCGCAGCAGGCGCGAAAACUCUGCAAUAGGCGAAAGCUUGACAGGGUUACUCUGAGUGAUGUCCGUUAAGGGCAUCUUUUGGUACCUCUAAAAAUGGUGCAGAAUAAGGGGUGGGCAAGUCUGGUGUCAGCCGCCGCGGUAAUACCAGCACCCCGAGUGGUCGGGACGAUUAUUGGGCCUAAAGCAUCCGUAGCUUGUCCUGCAAGUCUUCCGUUAAAUCCACCUGCUCAACAGAUGGGCUGCGGAGGAUACUACAGGGCUAGGAGGCGGGAGAGGCAAGCGGUACUCAGUGGGUAGGGGUAAAAUCCUCUGAUCCACUGAAGACCACCAGUGGCGAAGGCGGCUUGCCAGAACGCGCUCGACGGUUAGGGAUAAAAGCUGGGGGAGCAAACCCGGAUUAGAUACCCGGGGUAGUCCCCAGCUGGUAACCAAUGCAGACUCCGUUGAAUGGGGUUUGGCUUUCCAAGCCAAACCCAGGUGCCGGCAGGGGAAGCCCGUUUAAGUCUUGCCCGCCCGGGGGGAAGUACGGGUCCGCAAAGACUGGAAACUUAAAAGGGAAUUUGGCCGGGGGGAAGCAC
rnacentral:rRNA from 1 species